CCUACGGGAGGCAGCAGUGAGGAAUAUUGGUCAAUGGGCGCAAGCCUGAACCAGCCAAGCCGCGUGAAGGAUGAAGGCCCUAUGGGUUGUAAACUUCUUUUAUACGGGAAGAACCCUCCGACUUGUCGGAGACUGACGGUACCGUACGAAUAAGCAUCGGCUAACUCCGUGCCAGCAGCCGCGGUAAUACGGAGGAUGCAAGCGUUAUCCGGAUUAUUAGGUAUAAAGGGUGCGUAGGCGGACCUGUUAGUCAGUGGUGAAGUACUACGGCUUAACCGUAGAACUGCCAUUGAUACUGCAGGUCUUGAGUACAGUUGAGGUAGGCGGAAUGUGUGGUGUAGCGGUGAAAUGCUUAGAUAUCACACAGAACACCGAUUGCGAAGGCAGCUUACUAAGUUGUAACUGACGCUGAUGCACGAAAGCAUGGGGAGCAAACAGGAUUAGAUACCCUGGUAGUCCAUGCCGUAAACGAUGAUCACUCGCUGUACGUCCAUUAGGAUGUGUGGCUUGAGCUAACGCAUUAAGUUGAUCCACCUGGGGAGUACAGCGGCAACGCUGAAACUCAAAGGAAUAGACGG
rnacentral:rRNA from 1 species